AAAGAGAAUCACCUGAUGGGCUUUUUCUGUAGACCUACAUCAUUGGAAACGCCUCACAGAGUAACUGUGGUUUCCUUUCCUCAGAGAACUGCGUGUUAGAUCUGUGGGAAAGAGCUACAAGACAGAG
rnacentral:snoRNA from 1 species